rnacentral:rRNA from 1 species
GCCUUUAGAUGGCCUCGCGUCUGAUUAGCUAGUUGGUGGGGUAAUUGCCUACCAAGGCGACGAUCAGUAGCUGUUCUGAGAGGAAGAUCAGCCACACUGGGACUGAGACACGGCCCAAACUCCUACGGGGGGCAGCAGUGGGGAAUUUUCCGCAAUGGGCGCAAGCCUGACGGAGCAACGCCGCGUGAGGGAGGAAGGUCUGUGGAUUGUAAACCUCUUUUCUCUGUGAAAAAGAUCUGACGGUCGCAGAGGAAUCAGCAUCGGCUAACUCCGUGCCAGCCCCCGGGGUAAGACGGAGGAUGCAAGCUUUAUCCGGAAUUAUUGGGCGUAAAGCGUCCGUGGGCGGUUUUAUAAUUCAACUGUAAAAGACUGGGGCUUAACCCUGGGAGUGCAGUUAAAACUGUGAGACUUGAGAGUGGUGGGGGUAGAAGAAAUUCCUAGUGUAGCGGAAAAAUGCUUAAAUAUUAAAAAAAACACCGGUGGCAAAGGCCCUCUACUGGGCCAUUACUGACCCUGAUGGACAAAAG